rnacentral:rRNA from 1 species
AUACGUAGGGUGCGAGCGUUGUCCGGAAUUACUGGGCGUAAAGAGCUCGUAGGUGGUUUGUCGCGUCGUCUGUGAAAUUCCGGGGCUUAACUCCGGGCGUGCAGGCGAUACGGGCAUAACUUGAGUACUGUAGGGGAGACUGGAAUUCCUGGUGUAGCGGUGAAAUGCGCAGAUAUCAGGAGGAACACCGGUGGCGAAGGCGGGUCUCUGGGCAGUAACUGACGCGGAGGAGCGAAAGCAGGGGUAGCGAACAGGAUUAGAUACCCUGGUAGUCCAUGCCGUAAACGGUGGGCGCUAGUGGUAGGGGUCUUCCACGACUUCUGUGCCGUAGCUAACGCAUUAAGCGCCCCGCCUGGGGAGUACGGCCGCAAGGCUAAAACUCAAAGGAAUUGACGGGG